rnacentral:rRNA from 1 species
UACGUAGGGUGCGAGCGUUAAUCGGAAUUACUGGGCGUAAAGCGUGCGCAGGCGGUUUUGUAAGCCAGAUGUGAAAUCCCGAGGCUCAACCUCGGGUCUGCAGUCGAUACGAGCAAACUAGAGUGUUGCAGGGGAGACUGGAAUUCCUGGUGUAGCGGUGAAAUGCGCAGAUAUCAGGAGGAACACCGGUGGCGAAGGCGGCGACCUGGGCCAAUACUGACGCUGAGGUGCGAAAGCGUGGGGAGCAAACAGG